AUGAACGCCGGCGGCGUGCCUAAUACAUGCAAGUCGAGCGAACGGACGAGAAGCUUGCUUCUCUGAUGUUAGCGGCGGACGGGUGAGUAACACGUGGAUAACCUACCUAUAAGACUGGGAUAACUUCGGGAAACCGGAGCUAAUACCGGAUAAUAUUUUGAACCGCAUGGUUCAAAAGUGAAAGACGGUCUUGCUGUCACUUAUAGAUGGAUCCGCGCUGCAUUAGCUAGUUGGUAAGGUAACGGCUUACCAAGGCAACGAUGCAUAGCCGACCUGAGAGGGUGAUCGGCCACACUGGAACUGAGACACGGUCCAGACUCCUACGGGAGGCAGCAGUAGGGAAUCUUCCGCAAUGGGCGAAAGCCUGACGGAGCAACGCCGCGUGAGUGAUGAAGGCCUUCGGAUCGUAAAACUCUGUUAUUAGGGAAGAACAUAUGUGUAAGUAACUGUGCACAUCUUGACGGUACCUAACCAGAAAGCCACGGCUAACUACGUG
rnacentral:rRNA from 1 species